rnacentral:rRNA from 1 species
GGGAAUUUUGGACAAUGGGGGCAACCCUGAUCCAGCCAUGCCGCGUGCGGGAAGAAGGCCUUCGGGUUGUAAACCGCUUUUAGCCGGGAAGAAAAGGCGCGGGCUAAUACUCCGCGUUUUUGACGGUACCGGCGGAAUAAGCACCGGCUAACUACGUGCCAGCAGCCGCGGUAAUACGUAGGGUGCGAGCGUUAAUCGGAAUUACUGGGCGUAAAGCGUGCGCAGGCGGUUCGUCGUGUCCGAUGUGAAAGCCCCGGGCUCAACCUGGGAAUGGCAUUGGAAACUGGCGGGCUUGAGUGUGGCAGAGGGGGGUGGAAUUCCGCGUGUAGCAGUGAAAUGCGUAGAGAUGCGGAGGAACACCGAUGGCGAAGGCAGCCCCCUGGGCUGACACUGACGCUCAGGCACGAAAGCGUGGGGAGCAAA